GUCGUGAGACAGGUUCGGUCCCUAUCUGCCGUGGGCGCUGGAGAACGUGAGGGGGGCUGCUCCUAGUACGAGAGGACCGGAGUGGACGCAUCACUGGUGUUCGGGUUGUCAUGCCAAUGGCACUGCCCGGUAGCUAAAUGCGGAAGAGAUAAGUGCUGAAAGCAUCUAAGCACGAAACUUGCCCCGAGAUGAGUUCUCCCUGAGACUUUAAGUCUCCUGAAGGAACGUUGAAGACGACGACGUUGAUAGGCCGGGUGUGUAAGCGCAGCGAUGCGUUGAGCUAACCGGUACUAAUGAACCGUGAGGCUUAACCUUACAACGCCGAAG
rnacentral:rRNA from 1 species